CGGAGGAAGAUCCGGGGGGUCCUGCUGAUGCCAUAUAAAUAAGCGGAGGAAGAGUGCCCGCAAGAGUCCAACCAAACUCUUGUAUUAAACCAGUCGUCUGAGUAUAAAAUUUUAAUUAAAUUAAAACUUUCAACAACGGAUCUCUUGGUUCUCGCAUCGAUGAAGAACGCAGCGAAAUGCGAUAAGUAAUGUGAAUUGCAGAAUUCAGUGAAUCAUCGAAUCUUUGAACGCACAUUGCGCCCCUUGGUAUUCCGAGGGGCAUGCCUGUUCGAGCGUCAUUACACCACUCAAGCACUGCUUGGUAUUGGGCAUCGUCCGUCGAAAGGCGGGCGUGCCUCGAAGACCUCGGCGGGGUUUCUCCAACUUCGGGCGUAGUAGAGUUAAAUCAAAACGUCUUAUAAGCUUGGUGAGAUCUCAUUGCCGUUAAACCUUUUAUUUUUCAGGUUGACCUCGGAUCAGGUAGGGAUACCCGCUGAACUUAAGCAUAUCAUAGCCGGGAGAAA
rnacentral:rRNA from 1 species